rnacentral:rRNA from 1 species
AGACGAACCGUCCAAACGUUAUUCGGAAUUAUUGGGCUUAAAGGGUGCGUAGGCGGUGCGGUAAGUCGGGUGUGAAAUCCCUCAGCUCAACUGAGGAACUGCGCUCGAUACUGCCGUGCUUGAGGAAGAUAGAGGUCAGCGGAACUGAUGGUGGAGCGGUGAAAUGCGUUGAUAUCAUCAGGAACACCAGUGGCGAAAGCGGCUGACUGGAUCUUUUCUGACGCUGAGGCGCGAAAGCUAGGGGAGCGAACGGGAUUAGAUACCCCGGUAGUCCUAGCUGUAAACGAUGAGCACUUGAUCGAAGACUCCUCCAUAGGUUUUCGGUCGUAGCGAAAGUGUUAAGUGCUCCGCCUGGGGGGUAUGGCCGCAAGGCUGAA